UGCCAGUGUUCUCUUGCCCAGGAAACGGACUUCCGGCCAGGGCUCCCAGCUGUCUCUGUCUUCCUGGAGCAGCAGACCUCUCAAGUUGCAGUGAGAGACUGAAAAUCAGAUCUCGGGGAAAGUUUCACCAUGGAGAAGGAGAGGGAGCAGCGGAAGACACUAUGGAGAGAAAGCUGGGCACAAGGGCAAAGUAGCUGUGGGAGGACGACUGUCUGGUGGUCAUAAGUCUGAAGCUUGGCCCCUUGUCUGAAAAGAAGGUCUCUGCCUACUGGACGAUCUGCUGAGAACACAAAGCUGCUUCUUGAAGCUGGGUGGUUGGCUUUCCUCACCCGACCAGACCCAGCUGGGAGGCAUCCUUCUAGCUGUGUCACAGGAAGAUCUGCACAGACAAUUGAAACAACCUGAAUGUAAGAUUUAUGGAGGUCAUGUGUCCUGAGUAUCCACAUCAAGAUACAAACAAGCAAUGAAGCCAGGUACUGACUAAUCCAUGAUAUUCUUAGGAGUUGCGAAAUGGUGAUAAUGGAAUUCUACCAUUCUGUUCUUCUUUUAUACUAGCUGGACUACUUCUGUAAGAGAAAUUCCCUCUUCAACCAUGUGAUCAGGUAUGGUUCCUAUAGGAAAGGCAGGAUAAAUGUUGAUUUCUCUUUAUGACCAGUUUUCGAGUUAUUAAGUUGGCUACCUACAACUCUCCAAAUGUGAUCAAUUAAAAAAAUCAUUAUGAAGUCAUGGGUUUAAAUAUAUUUGAUGUAUUUUAAUUUAUUGCAGCCCAUUGCAAUUGUUAUUCUUAUGAAUGCUUGAAUUGUCCCAUCUUUGGCAAGUGGGGGUCUCCUCACCUACCUUUUAUUUACUUAUUUUAAGAUUUUAUUUAUUUAUUUGAUGGAGAGAGAGAUCACAAGUAGGCAGAGAGGCAGGCAGAGAGAGAGGGGGAAGGCUCCACGCUAAGCAGAGAGCCUGAUGCGGGGCUCGACUCAGCACCCUGAGACCAUGACCUGAGCCGAAGGCAGAGGCUCAACCCACUGUGCCACCCAGGCACCCCUCCUCAUGUACCUUUGAUGUAGUCCCAAGAUACUCUGAUAGCUUCUUGAGUUUUUUGUUAUGAUGAGAUAUCCAAGCACAUCUUGUGUAUUCCCUUCUCCAAGCAGAUAACCAAACAUUUCUUUAAGGUUUCCAUCGAUGGGAAAUUGCAAAUCGAGACCACAGUCUGGGUGGUAGGGAUGUUCAUUGCUAGUGGGUCGAUCCUUGUUUUCAAGGGCCUUCUGGUGGACAGAAAAUACAAAUAUAUAUGCUUCUACAUAAAGUCAUUCUUUGUUUAUACUAACACCCUUGACUCAAAUAGAGACUCCCAUUGUUUCACAAGACUUAUCUUAGAGCUGCUCUUUCUCCCAACCAAAUAUCUCGACCAAACACAUCAACAUUUGUGUUAUCUCUCCAUAUUAUCACCAUUAAUUGACUAAUCAAUCAAUCAAUUGAUUAAUGAUUAGUCAUUUAAUAUAAAAAUGAAAACCACUUUUCAAUUCUUUUUAUCCCUAGGAUAUAUCUCACUAGGUAUAUACAGUUAGGUUAGUGUUUAGGGUUAAAGUUGUUUGAAAUAGUCUUUUUCUUUGUCAUUAUAUCACUAACUUAUUGAGCAGUUAGAUUUUAUUUAUUUUGCUUUUUAGAAAAAGCUUUUUUUAAAAAAGGAUUUUAUUUAUUUGAGACAGAGAGAGAGAGAGAGAGAGAGGAUGAACAGGGCUGGGGAAGAGGGGCAGAGGUGGAGGGAGAAGCAGACUCCCUGCUGAGCAAGGAGCCUGGGGCUCAAUCUCUGGCCCCCAGGAUCAUGACAUGAGCCAAAGACAGACACUUAAGCAACUGAGCCACCCAGACACCCCUAUAGAAAGCUUUCUAAAAUUAAUAUUUUGGAAAUUAUUUAAAAUAUUUACAGAGCUUCAAAGUCAGGUCUAUGAAACAAAGUAUGUCAGAAAAACCAAGUUUCUAUCCCUAUAUCCUCUACUCAAUUUUCUCCUUCUCCAUAGACGUUUUUUUUUAAUAUAAUUUUUUAUUUUUUAUAAACAUAUAUUUUUAUCCCCAGGGGUACAGGUCUGUGAAUCACCAGGUUUACACACUUCACAGCACUCACCAAAACACAUACCCUCCCCAAUGUCCAUAAUACCACCCCCUUCUCCCAAACCCCCUCCCCCCAGCAACCCUCAGUUUGUUUUGUGAGAUUAAGAGUCACUUAUGGUUUGUCUCCCUCCCAAUCCCAUCUUCUUUCAUUUAUUCUUCUCGUACCCACUUAAGCCCCCAUGUUGCAUCACCACUUCCUCAUAUCAGGGAGAUCAUAUGAUAGUUGUCUUUCUCUGCUUGACUUAUUUCGCUAAGCAUGAUACGCUCUAGCUCCAUCCAUGUUGUCGCAAAUGGCAAGAUUUCAUUUCUUUUGAUGGCUGCAUAGUAUUCCAUUGUGUAUAUAUACCACAUCUUCUUGAUCCAUUCAUCUGUUGAUGGACAUCUAGGUUCUUUCUCCAUAGACGUUUUAAAAAGUUUUUGUCCUAGUCUUCCAUUGUUAAAAAGAAAUAUAUAUAUAUGUGUAUACAUGUAUUCAUUUGUUCUUUUUUUUUUUAAAUUUUAUUUAUUUAUUUGACAGAGAGAGAUCACAAGCAGGCAGAGAGGCAGGCAGAGAGAGAGAGAAGGAAGCAGGCUCCCCGCUGAGUGGAGAGCCCGAUGCAGGGCUCGAUCCCAGGACCCUGAGAUCAUGACCUGAGCUGAAGGCAGAGGCUUUAACCCACUGAGCCACCCAGACGCCCCAUUUGUUCUUAUAUAUAGUAGCAUUCUAUGUGAUUUCCCCCACUUUUCAUUUAAAAUAUUAUUAUACUUAUUUUAUUGAGAUAUUUACAUACAGUUCUAGACAAUAUGGUAGUGGUCUCUCCAUGGCAAUCUAUACAGACUUAUUUUAAAAGAAGAUUUAUUUAUUUAUUUGAGAGAGAGAGAGAGAGAACAGAGGGAGAGUGAGAGAAAGAAGCAGACUCCCUGCUGGCGUCACUCCUGGGGCCAUUUUGAUCCUUUUCACUGGGCACCACAGAGGGCACCACAAAGGCAAGAGGUGGUUUUCCUGAGACAGCUGAGUGGUGGCUUGCUACUUGUGAUCAGGGGGAGCGGCUGAGGGAGAAGGAGAAGCAGGCUCCCCACUGAGCUGGGACCUCAAUGUGGGGCUAGAUUCUGGGGAUCUAGGAUCCUGGAUCCAGGAUCCCAUCAUGACCUGAGCUGAAGGCAGAUGCUUAACUGACUGAGCCACCCAGGUGCCCUGCUUUUAAAUUUUUAUGUAGUUAAGUUGAUCAAUCUUUCUCUUUAGAAACUUGGUUUUUCUGACAUACUUUGUUUCAUAGACCUGACUUUGAAGCUCUGUAAAUAUUUUAAAUAAUUUCCAAAAUAUUAAUUUUAAAAAGCUGGAUUUUUGGCUAUAGUUACGAAAGUCUUCUCUACUCUCACGUCACAGAGAAAUUCUGCCAUUUUCCCCCCCUUGGUACUUCUAUAGUUUCAAUUUUUAAAAAAAUAUUUACUUAUUUGAGAGAGAGACAGAGAGAGCACUUGCAAGCAGUGGGGAGGAGCAGAGAGGGAGGGAGAGGGGAGCCCGAGCAGGGCUCCAUCUCACAACACUGAGAUAAUGACCUGAGCCAAAACCAAGAGUCAGACGUUUAAUUGAUAGAGCCACCCAGGUACCCUGCUACAGGUUCAAUUAAAAAAAAAAAAAUCCUAUGUAGAAGUUAUUCUUUGUGUGCGAUGAUAAAUGGAUCAAAUUUAUUUUUUUAUGUAGAGUCUCAAAGUUGAUAUUAUUAGCUCCCUUCCCUCCCUCCCUUCCACUUGCUUUUUCCUGGACAUUGUAUUCCUUUCUAGGUUUGUCAAAACUGGACAUGGAUCAAAAUAAACAUCUGUUCAAC